UGGGGAAUAUUGGACAAUGGAGGCAACUCUGAUCCAGCAAUUCUGUGUGUGUGAAGAUGGUUUUAGGACUGUAAAACACUUUUAGUAGGGAAGAAAGAAAUGACGGUACCUACAGAAGAAGCGACGGCUAAAUACGUGCCAGCAGCCGCGGUAAUACGUAUGUCGCGAGCGUUAUCCGGAAUUAUUGGGCUUACAGGGCAUCUAGGCGGUUAAACAAGUUGAAGGUGAAAACCUGUGGCUCAACCAUAGGCUUGCCUACAAAACUGUAUAACUAGAGUACUGGAAAGAGGAGUGGAACUAAACGAGUAGAGGUGAAGUUCUUAGAUAUGUGUAGGAAUGCCGAUGAUGAAGAUAACUCACUUGACAGCAAAAGACGCUUAAGAGCGUUAGCUAGGGGAGCAAUCAGG
rnacentral:rRNA from 1 species